GUGGGGAAUCUUGCGCAAUGGGCGAAAGCCUGACGCAGCCAUGCCGCGUGAAUGAUGAAGGUCUUAGGAUUGUAAAAUUCUUUCACCGGGGACGAUAAUGACGGUACCCGGAGAAGAAGCUCCGGCUAACUUCGUGCCAGCAGCCGCGGUAAUACGAAGGGGGCUAGCGUGGCUCGGAAUUACUGGGCGUAAAGGGCGCGUAGGCGGACAGCUUAGUCAGAGGUGAAAGCCCAGGGCUCAACCUUGGAAUUGCCUUUGAUACUGGCUGUCUUGAGUUUGGGAGAGGUGAGUGGAACUCCGAGUGUAGAGGUGAAAUUCGUAGAUAUUCGGAAGAACACCAGUGGCGAAGGCGACUCACUGGCCCAAUACUGACGCUGAGGCGCGAAAGCGUGGGGAGCAAACAGGAUUAGAAACCCCGGUAGUCC
rnacentral:rRNA from 1 species